rnacentral:rRNA from 1 species
GUGGUCCUACGGGGCGCAGCAGUGGGGAAUAUUGGGCAAUGGGCGCAAGCCUGACCCAGCAACGCCGCGUGAAGGAAGAAGGCCCUCGGGUUGUAAACUUCUUUUAUUCGGGACGAAACAAAUGACGGUACCGAAUGAAUAAGCCACGGCUAACUACGUGCCAGCAGCCGCGGUAAUACGUAGGUGGCAAGCGUUAUCCGGAUUUACUGGGUGUAAAGGGCGUGUAGGCAGGAGAGCAAGUCAGACGUGAAAUUCAAGGGCUCAACCCUGGAACCGCGUUUGAAACUGUUCUACUUGAGUGAUGG